rnacentral:rRNA from 1 species
GAGCGCCGUAGCAAUACGGAGCGGCAGACGGGAGAGUAACACGUGGGAACGUGCCCUUCAGUUCGGAACAACCCAGGGAAACUUGGGCUAAUACCGGAUACGUCCGUAAGGAGAAAGAUUUAUCGCUGAAGGAUCGGCCCGCGUCUGAUUAGCUUGUUGGUGAGGUAACGGCUCACCAAGGCUACGAUCAGUAGCUGGUCUGAGAGGAUGAUCAGCCUCACUGGGACUGAGACACGGCCCAGACUCCUACGGGAGGCAGCAGUGGGGAAUAUUGGACAAUGGGCGCAAGCCUGAUCCAGCCAUGCCGCGUGGAUGAUGAAGGCCUUAGGGUUGUAAAGUCCUUUCGACGGGGAAGAUAAUGACGGUACCCGGAGAAGAAGCCCCGGCUAACUUCGUGCCAGCAGCCGCGGUAAUACGAAGGGGGCUAGCGUUGCUCGGAAUCACUGGGCGUAAAGCGCACGUAGGCGGCUUUUUAAGUCAGAGGUGAAAUCCUGGAGCUCAACUCCAGAACUGCCUUUGAUACUGAGAAGCUUGAGUCCGGGAGAGGUGAGUGGAACUGCGAGUGUAGAGGUGAAAUUCGUAGAUAUUCGCAAGAACACCAGUGGCGAAGGCGGCUCACUGGCCCGGUACUGACGCUGAGGUGCGAAAGCGUGGGGA